rnacentral:rRNA from 1 species
AACGAACGCUGGCGGCAUGCCUAACACAUGCAAGUCGAACGAGACCUUCGGGUCUAGUGGCGCACGGGGGCGUAACGCGUGGGAACCUGCCCUUAGGUUCGGAAUAACUCCCCGAAAGGGGUGCUAAUACCGGAUAAUGUCUUCGGACCAAAGAUUUAUCGCCUUUGGAUGGGCCCGCGUUGGAUUAGCUAGUUGGUAGGGUAAAAGCCUACCAAGGCGACGAUCCAUAGCUGGUCUGAGAGGAUGAUCAGCCACACUGGGACUGAGACACGGCCCAGACUCCUACGGGAGGCAGCAGUGGGGAAUAUUGGACAAUGGGCGAAAGCAUGAUCCAGCAAUGACGCGUGAGUGAUGAAGGCCUUAGGGUUGUAAAGCUCUUUUACCCGGGAUGAUAAUGACAGUACCGGGAGAAUAAGCUCCGGCUAACUCCGUG